UGGGGAAUAUUGGACAAUGGGCGAAAGCCUGAUCCAGCCAUGCCGCGUGUGUGAAGAAGGCCUUUUGGUUGUAAAGCACUUUAAGCGAGGAGGAGGCUACUUAGAUUAAUACUCUAGGAUAGUGGACGUUACUCGCAGAAUAAGCACCGGCUAACUCUGUGCCAGCAGCCGCGGUAAUACAGAGGGUGCGAGCGUUAAUCGGAUUUACUGGGCGUAAAGCGUGCGUAGGCGGCUUUUUAAGUCGGAUGUGAAAUCCCUGAGCUUAACUUAGGAAUUGCAUUCUAUACUGGGAAGCUAGAGUAUGGGAGAGGAUGGUAGAAUUCCAGGUGUAGCGGUGAAAUGCGUAGAGAUCUGGAGGAAUACCGAUGGCGAAGGCAGCCAUCUGGCCUAAUACUGACGCUGAGGUACGAAAGCAUGGGGAGCAAACAGG
rnacentral:rRNA from 1 species